rnacentral:rRNA from 1 species
CUUUACUGUAACUUGAAAUUGAAAUUGGACUUUAUUUGCGCAGUAUAGGUGGGAGGCGUUGAGAAGAAUCUUGCGGGAUUCUUGGAGCCAUCAGUGAGAUACCACUCUUGUAAUGUUAGAUUUCUAACUUUGGAUCAUUAUCUGGUCAAAGAACAGUUUCAGGCGGGCAGUUUGACUGGGGCGGUCGCCUCCCAAACGGUAACGGAGGCGCACAAAGGUUUCCUCUGAACGGGUAGAAAUCGUAUCUAGAGUGUAAAGGCAUAAGGAAGCUUGACUGUGAGACCUACAAGUCGAGCAGGGACGAAAGUCGGUCUUAGUGAUCUGACGGUGCUGAGUGGAAAGGCCGUCACUCAACGGAUAAAAGUUA